rnacentral:tRNA from 1 species
AUCUGAUUAGGCACAAUUGGUUAGCGCGUGGGCCUUUUAAGCCCAAGGUUGAGAGUUCGAGCCUCUCGUCGGGCG